rnacentral:ribozyme from 1 species
UGCCCAGCAACUCCUAUCCCUACCUCCUCGCGGUACUGGCCGGGGUACGAGUAACCUUAGGGAAGAUCGGGUAACCAACCCCGGUGGGAACUUUGGUCGUAUGCUGACAGGGAAGG